rnacentral:tRNA from 1 species
GAUGGUGUAGCUUAAAUUGUAAAGUUGUGGUCUUCAAAAUCACAGUUACAGGUUCAACUCCUGUUGCCUUCG